rnacentral:rRNA from 1 species
CUGCCAGUAGUCAUAUGCUUGUCUCAAAGAUUAAGCCAUGCAUGUCUCAGUACAAGCCAUAUUAAGGUGAAACCGCGAAAGGCUCAUUAAAUCAGUUAUGGUUCCUUAGAUCGUACCCACAUUUACUUGGAUAACUGUGGUAAUUCUAGAGCUAAUACAUGCAAACAGAGCUCCGACCGGAGACGGAAGGAGUGCUUUUAUUAGAUCAAAACCAAUCGGCGGCAAUAUAGUUUACUUUAUUGUUCGUCGCACUUUUUGGUGACUCUGAAUAACUUUUGGCUGAUCGCACGGUCUCGCACCGGCGACGCAUCUUUCAAAUGUCUGCCUUAUCAACUGUCGAUGGUAGGUUCUGCGCCUACCAUGGUUGUAACGGGUAACGGGGAAUUAGGGUUCGAUUCCGGAGAGGGAGCCUGAGAAACGGCUACCACAUCCAAGGAAGGCAGCAGGCGCGCAAAUUACCCACUCCCGGCACGGGGAGGUAGUGACGAAAAAUAACGAUACGGGACUCAUCCGAGGCCCCGUAAUCGGAAUGAGUACACUUUAAAUCCUUUAACAAGGACCAAUUGGAGGGUAAGUCUGGUGCCAGCAGCCGCGGUAAUUCCAGCUCCAAUAGCGUAU